GAGGGUGUAGCUCAUUGGUAGAGCGUGUGCCUAGCAUGCACAAGGUCCUAGGUUCAAUCCGCAGUACCUCCA
rnacentral:tRNA from 1 species